CNNUNGNNMMDNNDVNDUBUAGUCAUAUGCUUGUCUCAGAGACUAAGCCAUGCAUGUCUAAGUGCAUACCUUGAAACGGUGAAACCGCGAACGGCUCAUUAAAUCAGCUAUGGUUCCUUAGAUCGUAUAUACUACAUGGAUAACUGUAGUAAUUCUAGAGCUAAUACAUGCAACUAUGCCCUGACCCGCGAGGGAACGGGUGCAUUUAUUAGAACAGAACCAACCGGUCGUGGCUUCGGUCGCGUCCGUUUGCUCUGUGAUGACUCUGGAUAACUUCACCGAUCGCAGUCGGCCUUGUGUCGGCGAUGGAUCUUUCAAAUGUCUGUCUUAUCAAUUUUCGAUGGUAGGUGACCUGCCUACCACGGUGAUAACGGGUGACGGGGAAUCAGGGUUCGAUUCCGGAGAGGGAGCCUGAGAGACGGCUACCACUUCCAAGGAAGGCAGCAGGCGCGCAAAUUACCCAAUCCCAGAACGGGGAGUAGUGACGAAAAAUACGGAUACGGGACUCAAUAGAGGCUCCGUAAUUCGAAUGAGUACAAUUCAAAUCCUUUAACGAGGAUCAACUGGAGGGCAAGUCUGGUGCCAGCAGCCGCGGUAACUCCAGCUCCAGUGGCAUAUAUUAAAAGUUGUUGCAGUUAAAAAGCUCGUAGUUGGAUCUGGGUCGGAUGGCUGUACGCCGCGCUUGCGUUCUUGGCCUGGUUUCGGCUGGGUCAGGUUAGUGAGUCGGUGUUACGGUCGUUCGGUCUUUCUGCUGUGUCUGUGGAAACAGGUGCCGACAUUGUUGGCAUGCUCCCGUAUGCCCUUCAACGGGUGUCGGGGGCGGACGGCAUGUUUACUUUGAACAAAUUUGAGUGCUCAAAGCAGGCCCAUGUGCCUGAAAAGUCUUGCAUGGAAUAAUGGAAUAGGACUUCGGUCUUAUUUUGUUGGUUUUCGGAUCCGAAGUAAUGGUUAAGAGGGACAGACGGGGGCAUUUGUAUGGCGGCGUUAGAGGUGAAAUUCUUGGAUCGUCGCCAGACAAACUACAGCGAAAGCAUUUGCCAAGGAUGUUUUCAUUGAUCUGGAGCGAAAGUCAGAGGUUCGAAGACGAUCAGAUACCGUCCUAGUUCUGACCAUAAACGAUGCCAACUGACGAUCCGCGGUGGUUCUACUAUCGGCCCCGCGGGCAGCCCCCGGGAAACCUUGAAGUUUUUGGGCUCCGGGGGAAGUAUGGUUGCAAAGCUGAAACUUAAAGGAAUUGACGGAAGGGCACCACCAGGAGUGGAGCCUGCGGCUUAAUUCGACUCAACACGGGAAAGCUCACCCGGCCCGGACACUGUGAGGAUUGACAGAUUAAUAGCUCUUUCUUGAUUCGGUGGUUGGUGGUGCAUGGCCGUUCUUAGUUGGUGGAGCGAUUUGUCUGGUUAAUUCCGAUAACGAACGAGACUUUUGCCUGUCAAAUAGUACGCCUGUCCUCUGCGCUCGUGCAGGUGGCGGUGUACGCUGCCCUUCGGGGUGGCGGCGCCGACUGCCGACGGGUGCUGCACAGGUAGUUACUUCUUGGAGGAACUAGCGGCGUGACAGUCGCACGAGAUUGAGCAAUAACAGGUCUGUGAUGCCCUCAGAUGUCCGGGGCCGCACGUGCGCUACAAUGACGGUCCCAGUGAGUCUGGAAUCCUGGCCCGAAGGGGUUGGGCAAACUGUUUAAUGACCGUCGUGACAGGAAUCGGGGCUUGUAAUUGUUCCCCGUGAACGAGGAAUUCCUGGUAAGUGCAAGUCAUAAGCUUGCGCUGAUUACGUCCCUGCCCUUUGUACACACCGCCCGUCGCUACUACCGAUUGAAUGGUUUAGCAAGGUCAUCGGAUUGGGCAACUAUGGUUGCUUGUCAGCCUUGUUUGCACUGAAAAGACGACCGAGCUUGAUCAUUUAGAGGAAGUAAAAUCGUAGGAAGGUUUCCGUN
rnacentral:rRNA from 1 species